UACAAAACGACUCUCGGCAACGGAUAUCUCGGCUCUUGCAUCGAUGAAGAACGUAGCGAAAUGCGAUACUUGGUGUGAAUUGCAGAAUCCCGUGAACCAUCGAGUCUUUGAACGCAAGUUGCGCCCGAAGCCAUUAGGUUGAGGGCACGCCUGCCUGGGUGUCACA
rnacentral:rRNA from 1 species